AACGCGAAGAACCUUACCUGGGCUCGAACGGCUUUGGAACAUCUUUGGAAACAGAGACUUCUCGCAAGAGACCGGAGUCGAGGUGCUGCAUGGCUGUCGUCAGCUCGUGUCGUGAGAUGUUGGGUUAAGUCCCGCAACGAGCGCAACCCUUGUCCUGUGUUGCCACUCCCGUAAGGGAAGCACUCUCAGGAGACCGCCAGCGAUAAGUUGGAGGAAGGUGGGGAUGAUGUCAAGUCAUCAUGGCCUUUAUGUCCAGGGCUACACACGUGCUACAAUGGACGGUACAAAGCGCUGCAAACCCGCGAGGGGGAGCCAAUCGCAAAAAACCGUUCUCAGUUCGGAUCGCAGGCUGCAACUCGCCUGCGUGAAGCUGGAAUCGCUAGUAAUGGCGUAUCAGAACGAUGCCGUGAAUACGUUCCCGGGCCUUGUA
rnacentral:rRNA from 1 species